GAAACGACUGCUAAGACUGGAUAGGAAACAAAAAGGCAUCUUUUUGUUUUUAAAAGACCUUCUUCGAAGGUAUGCUUAAAGAGGGGCUUGCGCCACAUUAGUUAGUUGGUAGGGUAAAAGCCUACCAAGACGAUGAUGUGUAGCUGGACUGAGAGGUUGAACAGCCACAUUGGGACUGAGACACGGCCCAAACUCCUACGGGAGGCAGCAGUAGGGAAUUUUCGGCAAUGGAGGAAACUCUGACCGAGCAACGCCGCGUGAACGAUGAAGUAUUUCGAUAUGUAAAGUUCUUUUAUUGAAGAAGAAAAAAUAGUGGAAAAGCUAUCUUGACGUUAUUCAAUGAAUAAGCCCCGGCAAACUAUGUGCCAGCAGCGGCGGUAAUACAUAGGGGGCGAGCGUUAUCCGGAAUUAUUGGGCGUAAAGGGUGCGUAGGUGGUUUAAUAAGUCUCUAGUUUAAUGGCAAUGCUUAACGUUGUCCUGCUAGAGAAACUGUUUUACUAGAGUUAGAUGGAGGCAAGUGGAAUUCCAUGUGUAGCGGUAAAAUGUGUAAAUAUAUGGAGGAACACCAGAGGCGUAGCGGCUUGCCAUGUCUAUACUGACACUGAGCACGAAAGCGUGGGGGAGCAACAGAUUAGAUACCCUGGUAGUCCACGCCGUAAACGAUGAGUACUAAGUGUCGGAGUAAUUCGGUACUGAGGUUAACACAUUAAGUACUCCGCCUGAGUAGUACGUACGCAAGUAUGAAACUUAAAGGAAUUGACGGGAUCCCGCACAAGCGGUGGAUCAUGUUGUUUAAUUCGAAGAUACACGAAAAACCUUACCAGGUCUUGACAUACUCUGCAGAGCUAUAGAAAUAUAGUGGAGGUUAUCAGGGAUACAGGUGGUGCAUGGUUGUCGUCAGCUCGUGUCGUGAGAUGUUAGGUUAAGUCCUAAAACGAGCGCAACCCUUAUCGUUAAUUGCCAGCACGUUAUGGUGGGGACUUUAGCGAGACUGCCAAUGGAAAAAUUGGAGGAAGGUGAGGAUUACGUCAAAUCAUCAUGCCCCUUAUGAUCUGGGCUACAAACGUGAUACAAUGGCUGUUACAAAGAGUAGCUAAAACGUGAGUUGAUAGCCAAUCUCAAAAAAACAGUCUCAGUUCGGAUUGAAGUCUGCAACUCGACUUCAUGAAGUUGGAAUCGCUAGUAAUCGCGAAUCAGCAUGUCGCGGUGAAUACGUUCUCGGGGUUUGUACACACCGCCCGUCA
rnacentral:rRNA from 1 species